UUUCCGUAGGUGAACCUGCGGAAGGAUCAUUAUAAAUGAAAAACGAAUAACUUCAGGGAAGAAGGGAACCUGCACGGUGACCUCCCCUGUCGGGCCACCCAAUACCUUCAAAAUGCCGCCGUCCUAGCGGUGGCAGACGAAAAAAAAACAAGAAAAACAAAAUAGAAACAGGCACGGUGGCCCGUUCACCUUCACACAACCCUCCGAGUACCGCUUCCAUGUUGCUCCCCCGCAAAUCCACCUCUUUGGUGAGCGCGGGGGAGGUCCGCAUCAAAUUCACCUGAAUGUCACAGCAGUCAGACAGCCAUUCAUGGAAACAAUAAAACUUUCAACAACGGAUCUCUUGGUUCCC
rnacentral:misc_RNA from 1 species